CUCCGGUUGAUCCCGCCGGACCCGACUGCUAUCAGAGUGGGACUAAGCCAUGCGAGUCGACGUAGCAAUGCGUGGCUAACGGCUCAGUAACACGUAGUCAACAUGCCCAGGGGACGUGGAUAACCUCGGGAAACUGAGAAUAAACCACGAUAGGUCACGAUUUCUGGAAUGGAUCAUGGCCUAAAUCUACAUGGCCCCUGGAUUGGACUGCGGCCGAUCAGGCUGUUGGUGAGGUAAUGGCCCACCAAACCUAUAACCGGUACGGGCUCUGAGAGGAGAAGCCCGGAGAUGGGCACUGAGACAAGGGCCCAGGCCCUAUGGGGCGCAGCAGGCGCGAAACCUCUGCAAUAGGCGAAAGCCUGACAGGGUUACUCUGAGUGAUUUCCGCUAAGGGGAUCUUUUGGCACCUCUAAAAAUGGUGCAGAAUAAGGGGUGGGCAAGUCUGGUGUCAGCCGCCGCGGUAAUACCAGCACCCCGAGUGGUCGGGACGAUUAUUGGGCCUAAAGCAUCCGUAGCCGGUUCUGCAAGUCUUCCGUUAAAUCCAGCCGCUCAACGGAUGGGCCGCGGAGGAUACUACAGGACUAGGAGGCGGGAGAGGCAAGCGGUACUCAGUGGGUAGGGGUAAAAUCCUUUGAUCCAUUGAAGACCACCAGUGGCGAAGGCGGCUUGCCAGAACGCGCUCGACGGUGAGGGAUGAAAGCUGGGGGAGCAAACCGGAUUAGAUACCCGGGUAGUCCCAGCUGUAAACGAUGCAGACUCGGUGAUGGGCUAGCCUUGUGCCAGCCCAGUGCCGCAGGGAAGCCGUUAAGUCUGCCGCCUGGGGAGUACGGUCGCAAGACUGAAACUUAAAGGAAUUGGCGGGGGAGCA
rnacentral:rRNA from 1 species